UACGAAGGGGGCUAGCGUUGUUCGGAAUCACUGGGCGUAAAGCGCACGCAGGCGGAUUGAUAAGUCAGGGGUGAAAUCCCGGAGCUCAACUUCGGAAUUGCCUUUGAUACUGUCUGUCUUCGAGUUCGGGAGAGGUUGGCGGAAUUCCUAGUGUAGAGGUGAAAUUCGUAGAUAUUCGCAAGAACACCAGUGGCGAAGGCGGCUCACUGGCCCGUAACUGACGCUGAGGCACGAAAGCGUGGGGAGCAAACAGG
rnacentral:rRNA from 1 species